UGGGGAAUAUUGCACAAUGGGCGAAAGCCUGAUGCAGCAACGCCGCGUGAGUGAUGAAGGUCUUCGGAUUGUAAAGCUCUGUCUUUUGGGACGAUAAUGACGGUACCAAAGGAGGAAGCCACGGCUAACUACGUGCCAGCAGCCGCGGUAAUACGUAGGUGGCGAGCGUUGUCCGGAUUUACUGGGCGUAAAGGGUGCGUAGGCGGAUGUUUAAGUGAGAUGUGAAAUACCCGGGCUUAACUUGGGUGCUGCAUUUCAAACUGGAUAUCUAGAGUGCAGGAGAGGAGAAUGGAAUUCCUAGUGUAGCGGUGAAAUGCGUAGAGAUUAGGAAGAACACCAGUGGCGAAGGCGAUUCUCUGGACUGUAACUGACGCUGAGGCACGAAAGCGUGGGUAGCAAACAGGAUUAGAUACCCUGGUAGUCCACGCCGUAAACGAUGAGUACUAGGUGUAGGAGGUAUCGACCCCUUCUGUGCCGCAGUAAACACAUUAAGUACUCCGCCUGGGAAGUACGACCGCAAGAUUAAAACUCUAAAGUGAA
rnacentral:rRNA from 1 species